rnacentral:rRNA from 1 species
CUUGCGCUAAUAGAUGAGCCUAAGUCAGAUUAGCUAGUUGGUGGGGUAAAGGCCUACCAAGGCGACGAUCAGUAGCUGGUCUGAGAGGACGAUCAGCCACACUGGGACUGAGACACGGCCCAGACUCCUACGGGAGGCAGCAGUGGGGAAUAUUGCACAAUGGGCGCAAGCCUGAUGCAGCGACGCCGCGUGAGGGAUGACGGCCUUCGGGUUGUAAACCUCUUUCAGCAGGGACGAAGCGCAAGUGACGGUACCUGCAGAAGAAGCACCGGCCAACUACGUGCCAGCAGCCGCGGUAAUACGUAGGGUGCAAGCGUUGUCCGGAAUUACUGGGCGUAAAGAGCUCGUAGGCGGUUUGUCGCGUCUGCUGUGAAAAUCCGGGGCUCAACCCCGGACUUGCAGUGGGUACGGGCAGACUAGAGUGCAGUAGGGGAGACUGGAAUUCCUGGUGUAGCGGUGAAAUGCGCAGAUAUCAGGAGGAACACCGGUGGCGAAGGCGGGUCUCUGGGAAAUAACUGACGCUGAGGAGCGAAAGCGUGGGUAGCGAACAGGAUUAGAUACCCUGGUAGUCCACGCCGUAAACGAUGUCAACUAGCCGUUGGGAGCCUUGAGCUCUUAGUGGCGCAGCUAACGCAUUAAGUUGACCGCCUGGGGAGUACGGCCGCAAGGUUAAAACUCAAAUGAAUUGACGGGGGCCCGCACAAGCGGUGG